AGAGUUUGAUCCUGGCUCAGAAUGAACGUUGGCGGCGUGGAUUAGGCAUGCAAGUCGAGCGAGAACCCGCAAGGGGGACAGCGGCGAACGGGGUAGGAAUACGUAGGUAACGUACCCUCGGGGCGAGGACAGCCACGGGAAACUGUGGGUAAUACUCGAUAAACUUCCCAAUCAUUAUCGGAGGGGAAGCAAUGGGUGUGAUUCCACCUGAGGAGCGGCUUACGCAGUAUCAGCUAGUUGGUGAGGUAACGGCUCACCAAGGCUACGACGCUUAGGGGGUGUGAGAGCAUGGCCCCCACCACUGGCACUGAGACACUGGCCAGACACCUACGGGUGGCUGCAGUCGAGAAUCUUCGGCAAUGGACGCAAGUCUGACCGAGCGACGCCGCGUGUGGGAUGAAGGCCUUCGGGUUGUAAACCAC
rnacentral:rRNA from 1 species